rnacentral:rRNA from 1 species
UGAGUCGGGGCGGGGGAAUAACUACGGGAAACGGUAGCUAAUACCGCAAUAAUGUCUACGGACCAAAGCGGGGGACCUCCGGGCCUCGCGCCAUCAGAUGAACCCAUAUGGGAUUAGCUAGUAGGUAAGGUAACGGCUUACCUAGGCGACGAUCCCUAGCUGGUCUGAGAGGAUGAUCAGCCACACUGGGACUGAGACACGGCCCAG